UACGUAGGGUGCAAGCGUUGUCCGGAAUUAUUGGGCGUAAAGAGCUCGUAGGCGGUUUGUUGCGUCGGCUGUGAAAUCCCGAGGCUCAACCUCGGGUCUGCAGUCGAUACGAGCAAACUAGAGUGUUGCAGGGGAGACUGGAAUUCCUGGUGUAGCGGUGAAAUGCGCAGAUAUCAGGAGGAACACCGGUGGCGAAGGCGGUGGGCUGGGCCGGUACUGACGCUGAGGAGCGAAAGCGUGGGGAGCGAACAGG
rnacentral:rRNA from 1 species